AUGAACUGCAAUCAGAUGUCUGUACUUACAGAUAUCAAAGUUGAUUUUAUAGAGAAAGAACUGUUCCGCACCUUCUGGAAUUGUGAUGUUGACUUGGAGUAUAUUUAUGCAAAUUCCCACAUAAACAUCCUCAAAUUUCAGAGGUCUGACGUGGCCCAUCAGCUCGUACGUCCUCAGAGCCAGUUUUCCAUCCAGGAUGUACCCCAGGCCGCUGCAGUAGGGAGGAUACAGCUUGAAGGGAUACUCCUGGUAGGAGAUGUACCUUUUCCUGUCGAAGCCUCUGUAGGCGAAGUUAUCGAUGAGGGGAUAGCCGGUGAAAACGUUCUCCGAGGAAUUCAGCCGCAGCAGGAACUUCACCAGGUUGGGAGUGUUGAUGAAGACAUCGGCGUCGGUCUUCAUGAAGAACCUGGCGUUGGAGCAGAACUCGGAGAGCCACUGGAACGCCAUGAUGGUCUUCAGGGUGAGGUUGUCGUAGGUGUCCACGAAAUCCUGGCGGAUGAUGUCCCCGUAGAGGAUGCUCUCGUCCUCCACCGCCAGCGCCGCCGCCCUGUCCUCCGUCCGCGCGUCCUGCCCCAGCAGGAACAGGGUCAGGAUGUGCUGGCCCCACCAGGAAUCCCGGGAGCCCCACGUGAUCCUGAUGGCCUGCCUGGCCUUCACGUCCCCGGGGCUGGAAGCCACCAGGAUGACCAGGAAGGGGCGGAGGUCGGCGCAGCGCGGGCGCUCGCGCAGCGUGAACGGGCGCGGCCGCCGGUACGCGGGCUCGUGCUCGUAGAAGUACAGAGGGUUCACGUCCUCCAGGCCAGCCCUGGAGGAGAAGGUUAUGUACCACAUGGUUAUCAGGGAAAACACCAGCAGCCACAGGAAAAUCCAUUUCAGGGGUCUCCUGUACAAGGAGCCGACCAGGACCUGGAUCAUGGUCGGGAUCUGCUGGCGCCCCUCACAAUCUGUCCCACGAGUCCUGGAGCAUCUUCCUUGCUGAAAAGGAAAGGGGAAAGCGGCAUUCAGAGUGCUGUUAGUCAAAUAUUACCUUUUCCUUGUGUGAAAAACGCCAAUCACUUGGGUUUUAAAAUUUUAACAGUUUAA
ensembl:lncRNA